CGGUUUACCCCAGAGAAGUAUCUAAGCCUUAAGCGCUAGACUUUUCCUUCAAAUAAGGUUGGGAAGGGCCUAGUACCGCGUUAGUUUAGGGGGGCGGCCUAUGUUCCGUCUUCAGAACCUUAUAGAAUUCAAAGUCGGUUGCGAUGGUAGUCAGAAAUUUCGGAUUGAGGGACAACUUCACCGUAGCGUUUCCAAACCAAAACUUCUGUAUUUCAAGCGGCGCAGGCCGCUUUUAUAGAGCAUCUGGGUCUGGCUACCCACACUUACUUCUAAAGACAAAAAGAGAUGCCAGAAUUCUAAUUAUCUAACUUAAAAUAAUAUUUUCCCUCCCGCACUAUUUGACUUCCAUAAGUACGGUCGAAUUUUACGACUUUCCACACCCAGAGCCUGAUCGAGUCAUACCCGAUAGAUGUACGCCGGUUCUAAAUGAUCAACCUACGGUGCAUCGAUCCUAGCGCUAUCAGACCUCUCUCACCACAUGACGGUUGCGCAUUCUGUUCCCAAAGUCUUUUUUGGGAAUUUUAUUACCCUGCCGGCGGUCGUCCCUUGGCCCUUUUCUGGUUAUCGCUGCCGGUUCCGUGGAACCUAGGCAAGACGAGGUUGAUGGAUUGUUUCUAUAUUGAUCAGCUACCUACUGGUAGGCUGACUCGCCACCUAAAGGGUUCUUGCGGCAAUGUCGUGGGAAUCUUCUCGUAUCGUCCUUUAGAGCUACUUUCGCAGGAGUCGAAUUUUAACCAACGGGGAUUUCGGUACUUACGACAGUUGAGUUAAGCUGAUUUCUUCCGCAGGGGUCGCGUUUUAACCUGCGUGGAUUCCGUGGUUCUUACGACCGUUGGGUUGAGCUUUUUUUUUUAAUCGUUAAAUCGUUUUUAAUCGGUGCACUUUGAUUCUUAUCUGACUGAUCAGUCUUUUCUACUUCGCACUGCACAAAUGUCUUUAGGGCUGUUUCGGGAUUUUUAAGUCGAUGAAUUGGGAGACGUGCUGAACGAACACCCUUUCUCUAGGGGUGUCCUUCCACAGCGUAACUUCAAAUCCCUUCGAUUCACACACUUGCCCUUUCUUCUGUGGUGCUCUUUUCCACCUUCUGUAUUCUUCAGUAUGUCGUAAUUCUUUCAUCUGAAUGUCGAUUUCCUGGAAGUAAUCGACGAGUUCUUCGAUCUCUUUGUCGAGAUCACUCAUUGUCUUCUAUGACGUUCACUAGCUAGGUUGAUCUUAAGGCGUCAACCACGCUCUCUCUUGAAUUCACAACUGACCGCGCGAUUGUUGUGAAUCCUCACUCGGGGCACCAUGUAACGGGCGCACGACCGUUUAAGGUCCGCGGGACUCGCGCGGUGGUCCCGGGAUCCAAUCGUGUCCAGUCACAAUACUUACUGCGUACCGGCGGUGUUGUACACGCUUCCUUAUUCUCAUCAGGGCAGUAAGCAACUCUUUGUAUACUUGAUCUGGUCUUCCGAAGUGUUCCUCGAGUCUAGUCAGAAUAUCCGGUACGUUGUUGGAGUCCAUCAUAAGCUAUUGUACACUUUUAGCGGCGGCUCCGUACAGUACCUGCUGCGAUCUGUUAAGGUUUUCGACGUUAUUGAAGGCUCCUUCUUGAGUUGUUUGAAUGAAGGCAGUUCUGAAGUUCGGCCAUUCCUUAGCCGGCCCGCCGAAUUUCGGUAAUCGCAUUAGCGCUUGCCGCUUCAGGUAAAUAGUCCAAUCUUCGUGAUAAGCACUUUCGUUUUUGAUCUUGAUUCCUUGUAGUGCCUUGGUGAUUUCGCGUACAGCUCUCUGUUAACCGCUUAUCAUUCGUUCGAAAAAAGCUUCUGUGGGGUUGGUGGCGACUGCCUUGGCAGCUUGGUUCAGUCGUUUAAUCUCGUUAUCAAUGAGUUUGCAUUUUACGCAAAGAAAUAUUUCCUCGGGCGUUGGUUUUUUGAUGACCUUCGCGCAAGAUGGGUGAAACCAUCUAUCGCACUCUGAGCAUUCCACCAUGUAUGUAUCCUUGUCGUCCGGAUCACUACAUACGCGGCAGUGCCCAUUCUGGUUAUCCACGAACUUACUCAUUUCGAUUUCGUGGUCUUGUUGCUUACCGCUCAUUGAUUUGUUGCGCCCUUGCAGCAAUGUCGUGGGAAUCUUCUCGUAUCGUCCUUUAGAGCUACUUUCGCAGGAGUCGAAUUUUAACCUGCGUGGAUUCCGUGGUUCUUACUCUUUUUUAUCGUUAGCAUUUUGGUUCUUAUCUGACUGAUCAGUCUUUACUACUUCGCACUGCACAAAUGUCUUUAGGGCUGUUUCGAAAUUUUUAAGUCGAUGAAUUUGGAGACGUGCUGAACGAACACCCUUUCUUUAGGGGUGUCCUUCCACUUAGGGUCCAAAAG